UACGUAGGGGCCGAGCGUUGUCCGGAGUUAUUGGGCGUAAAGCGCGCGCAGGCGGCCUCGCGCGCCCGACGUGAAAGCCCCCGGCUUAACCGGGGAGGGUCGUUGGGGACGGCGGGGCUUUAGGGCGGGAGAGGUCGGUGGAAUUCCCGGUGUAGUGGUGAAAUGCGUAGAGAUCGGGAGGAACACCUGUGGCGAAGGCGGCCGACUGGGCCGACCCUGACGCUGAGGCGCGAAGGCGUGGGGAGCGAACGGG
rnacentral:rRNA from 1 species